UACGGAGGGGGCUAGCGUUGUUCGGAAUUACUGGGCGUAAAGCGCGCGUAGGCAGACCUGCAAGUCGGGGGUGAAAGCCCGGGGCUCAACCCCGGAACUGCCCUCGAAACUAGGUAGCUAGAAUCUUGGAGAGGCGAGUGGAAUUCCGAGUGUAGAGGUGAAAUUCGUAGAUAUUCGGAAGAACACCAGUGGCGAAGGCGACUCGCUGGACAAGUAUUGACGCUGAGGUGCGAAAGCGUGGGGAGCAAACAGG
rnacentral:rRNA from 1 species